ACAUGUACCGUAUGGUACUUGGGUAGGGGAGCGUUGAAUACGGGUUGAAGUUGGACCGUGAGGACUGGUGGACUGUAUUCAAGUGAGAAUGCCGGUAUGAGUAACGAAAAGACAAGUGAGAAUCUUGUCCGCCGAAAGCCUAAGGGUUCCUGAGGAAGGCUCGUCCACUCAGGGUAAGUCGGGACCUAACGCGAGGCCGAAAGGCGUAGUGGAAGGACAACAGGUUGAAAUUCCUGUACCACCGUAAGCCGUUAUGAGCAAUGGGGUGACACAGAAGGGCAGUGACGCGGGCUGAUGGAAUAGCCCGUCCAAGCAGUGAGGCUGAUCGAUAGGCAAAUCCGUCGAUCAUAAGGCUGGGCUGUGAUGGGGAGCGAAAAUUGCAGUAGCGAAGGUCAUGUACUCCGGCUGUCAAGAAAAGCCUCUAGCCAGGCGAAGGUGCCCGUACCGCAAACCGACACAGGUAGGCGAGCAGAGCAUGCUAAGGCGCGCGGAAGAACUCUCGUUAAGGAACUCGGCAAAAUGACCCCGUAACUUCGGGAGAAGGGGUGCCUCGGUAGGGUGAAUAGCCCGAGGGGGCCGCAGUGAAAAGGCCCAAGCGACUGUUUAGCAAAAACACAGGUCUGUGCGAAGCCGUAAGGCGAAGUAUACGGGCUGACGCCUGCCCGGUGCUGGAAGGUUAAGGGGAGCGGUUAGGGGUUAAACCCGAAGCUGUGAACCGAAGCCCCAGUAAACGGCGGCCGUAACUAUAACGGUCCUAAGGUAGCGAAAUUCCUUGUCGGGUAAGUUCCGACCCGCACGAAAGGCGUAAUGAUUUGAGCACUGUCUCGACAAUGCAUCCGGUGAAAUUGAAGUACCAGUGAAGAUGCUGGUUACCUGCGCCAGGACGGAAAGACCCCAUGGAGCUUUACUGCAGCUUGAUAUUGGACUUUGGUACGAUCUGUACAGGAUAGGUGGGAGCCUUUGAAGCAUGAGCGCCAGCUUGUGUGGAGGCGACGUUGGGAUACCACCCUGAUCGUAUCGGAGUUCUAACCCGGAACCGUGAAGCCGGUUCGGGGACCGUGUCAGGCGGGCAGUUUGACUGGGGCGGUCGCCUCCUAAAAUGUAACGGAGGCGCCCAAAGGUUCCCUCAGAAUGGUUGGAAACCAUUCGCAGAGUGCAAAGGCAGAAGGGAGCUUGACUGCGACACCGACGGGUGGAGCAGGUACGAAAGUAGGACUUAGUGAUCCGGUGGUUUUAAGUGGGAAUGCCAUCGCUCAACGGAUAAAAGCUACCCUGGGGAUAACAGGCUUAUCACUCCCAAGAGUUCACAUCGACGGAGUGGUUUGGCACCUCGAUGUCGGCUCAUCGCAUCCUGGGGCUGUAGUAGGUCCCAAGGGUUGGGCUGUUCGCCCAUUAAAGCGGUACGCGAGCUGGGUUCAGAACGUCGUGAGACAGUUCGGUCCCUAUCUGUCGCGGGCGCAGGAAAUUUGAGAGGAGCUGUCCUUAGUACGAGAGGACCGGGUUGGACUGACCACUGGUGUACCGGUUGUUCCGCCAGGAGCAUGGCCGGGUAGCCAAGUCGGGAAGGGAUAAACGCUGAAGGCAUCUAAGCGUGAAGCCCCCCUCAAGAUGAGAUUUCCCAGUAUGUAAGACCCCUUGA
rnacentral:rRNA from 1 species